rnacentral:rRNA from 1 species
UCAGGCCUAACACAUGCAAGUCGAGCGAGGACUUCGGUCCUAGCGGCGGACGGGUGAGUAACGCGUGGGAACGUGCCCCUUGGUACGGAAUAGCCCCGGGAAACUGGGAGUAAUACCGUAUGAGCUCUACGGAGGAAAGAUUUAUCGCCAAGGGAUCGGCCCGCGUUGGAUUAGGUAGUUGGUGGGGUAAUGGCCUACCAAGCCGACGAUCCAUAGCUGGUUUGAGAGGAUGAUCAGCCACACUGGGACUGAGACACGGCCCAGACUCCUACGGGAGGCAGCAGUGGGGAAUCUUAGAAGAUGGGCGCAAGCCUGAUCUAGCCAUGCCGC